rnacentral:rRNA from 1 species
UACAGAGGUCCCGAGCGUUGUUCGGAUUCACUGGGCGUAAAGAGCUCGUAGGCGGUUUGUCGCGUCUGCCGUGAAAGUCCGGGGCUCAACUCCGGAUCUGCGGUGGGUACGGGCAGACUAGAGUGAUGUAGGGGAGACUGGAAUUCCUGGGUGUAGCGGUGAAAUGCGCAGAUAUCAGGAGGAACACCGAUGGCGAAGGCAGGUCUCUGGGCAUUAACUGACGCUGAGGAGCGAAAGCAUGGGGGAGCGAACAGG